rnacentral:rRNA from 1 species
GCGCGAAACCUCCUCAAUGCACUCACGUGCGAAGGGGUUACCUCGAGUGCCAUCUGAAGAAGGUGGCUUUUCCUUGGUCUAAAUAGCCUUGGGAAUAAGAGGGGGGCAAGACUGGUGUCAGCCGCCGCGGUAACACCAGCCCCUCGAGUGGUGGGGAUGAUUAUUUGGCCUAAAGCGUCCGUAGCCGGCCAGGUAAGUUUCCCGUUAAAUCCAGCGUCUCAAGCGUUGGACUGCGGGAAAUACUGCUUGGCUAGAGAGUGGGAGAGGUAAGCGGUAUUCUGGGGGUAGGGCGAAAUUCCUUUGAUCCCCGGAGGACCACCAGUGGCGAAGGCUGCUUACUAGAACACGUCUGACGGUCAGGGACGAAAGCUGGGGUAGCGAACCGGAUUAGAUACCCGGGUAGUCCCAGCUGUAAACGAUGCACGCUAGGUGUUGGGUCGGCCAUGUGCCGCCCCAGUGCCGCAGGGAAGCCGUUAAGCGUGCCGCCUGGGGAUACGGCCGCAAGGCUAGAAACUUAAAGGAUUGGCGGGGGA